CUGUCGUACUUCAGUUUUGUAGAUGAUCAAUUGAUUUAAGUUCUGAUCCAUUUGAAAUGACCUCUCUAUCUGUUCUAUAUGUGUGUCAUGGAACUAAGUGUCAUUCCACUAUGGCUCAGCAGUACCUUUUGCAGAUGGUGCUCAAAGCUCUUGAAGGCUCUUCCUUGAAGAAGUUGACUAAUAUCGAUAGUUGUGGGACUGAAGACGAUGACUUUGGAAGCUAGCCGGACCCUGGAACUGACUGAGACUGUCCCGAAAAAGCACGAGUUGCAUUUUGUCGCAUGUAGCACGAUUGUUUGUACCUGAAACCGACAGCCAGUUUGAUCACAUUCUGUGUAUGGACAGUUAUUUAUGAUGGCAGUGAAAAGCUAUCUGAAGACUAUCAAGACUUCAGCCAAUAUUGAACUCCUUGGAAAGUUCGACACAAAAGGCGUAGAAGAUGUGUUCAACGCUUGGAUGUGCCCUGUUAGUGAAUUUAGGAAGGUUUGUCAACACAUCGAGUUCAAUAGAUGAAUUUUUCAAAACUUUAAUGCCCUUAAUUUGUCUGCUUCUAUCGAAAAUUCAGCCUUUCAGUUGAAAUCUUAAGUUACGAAUUAUUUAUUUGUGAACUUGAACUGAAUUUUGUAUGGAAAUUCUAUUCCAUAGUGGUGUUAUUUCGUCGUGAGGCGACAAUUCGGCUGCGAGCGACAAUUGGUAGCAUUUCAAGAAGCGGCAUUUAAUGGCUGAGCAAUUUGGCAUUAUAAUUAUGUAAAUAAUUCGGAAUAAUUUGAGUCAGCAAUGUACAGCAACCAAUCUGCCAUGACUUAGCGGGUGUAGAAAAUAGAUGUGCACAUGGCCGUCAGUGCGAAUCUUCGGUGUAUACAGAGAUGCAGAAAAGACUAUAGAGCUCCGUUCGAAUAGGUUCGGAGGAAAAGGAGAACGAGCCAGAGCUUGUUCCGUCAACUGUGGACGAUUUGAAUGAGUUGAACGUGAAUCAAUUACUAGGCCAUCUUCAUUCCACAAAGAAUAAAGAGGCGAGUAAGAUUCAAUACUCCAUUGAAGGGAAUGUAUAUGUAAACAAAAUCGCAUAUGCCAGAACAGUAAGAAGUCAACUGAUUCGCCUCUAACGACUAGUCGUUUUAUAGACAAUGAGCCAUCAACAGACAACAAAAUCCUCAAGAUGAACUAGUCUGUUUUUGAGUGUAGGGAGCAACUAUUUGUUUUACUUGGUAUCGAGUUUCAAUUUGGUAUUGGAAUUGCUAAUUUUCAAGCCAAAAAUCAUCAACCCAACAUAAUCUAGAUUGUCGCUCGUUUCACUCCACACACCAUCUGUUUGCAUGUCCUGGAAGCUUGUUGAGUGUUUGCCCAAUUUUGGUUCCGUUCAUUCUGUGAUGCUCUGGGAUUUUCGAUUCCUGGUUUCAGAUUAUUUUGCUUGUUGUAAAUCCUUUUCGCUCGUUUUGUCACAUCAUUUUGGAUUUCAACCUAAAUUUUUGUCGAAAAUUUUUUCAUCGUUGUAAAUAAGGCCGAACUUGUGACUGGUUUGCCUUAUUUUGGAAUA